rnacentral:pre_miRNA from 1 species
UAGACACACUGUACUUAAUGUAUUCGCUGACAAUGACGUUAGACACACCGAACAUAACGUCAUUGUCAGCGAAUACAUUAAGUACAGUGUGUCUAACGUCAU